GGGGAUGUAGCUCAAAUGGUAGAGCGCUAGCUUUGCAUGCGAGAGGUACAGGGUGCGAUCCCCUGCAUCUCCA
rnacentral:tRNA from 1 species